rnacentral:lncRNA from 1 species
UCUUUGGUUUGAUGGAUUUAGACUUUGCCCUUCGUGAAGACGAACCCGAGAAGCCUACUGUCAAUAGCUCUUCUUCAGCCGUACGCAGUAUGAAAAAUGGGAGAGAAGUAAUCGAUUAAGCCUUCUAGUGAUGAGAAAGAAAAUGCAUGAUGGUCUAUAUGCGCUUGUUCCUGUGACAGACUAUGGUAAUAAUGCUAAACAAUUUUUUGCUGCCCUUGAGAACUUAUUUCUGAAAAUUGAGAGUGCUAAGCUCUGCGAAAUGACUGAAGAUUUAAUAAGGAAAUAUGAUGGCGAAGGGAUUGAAUAUGACGGUGAAGGGAGCUAGUCCAACCGGAUUCUAAGAUUAUCCAGUUUUGGCUAUAGGUUGAGAAAUGAAGGUGCACUGAUUUUUUGAGGAACUGAUUGUUAAAUCAGUGAUUGAUUCUCUUCCUACAGAAAAGUUUAUGAAUCUCCGGACUAUAGUCUCUCCAAGGAGAAAUGGGGAUUGGUUGACUUAAUAUGUAAGUGUGGAGAAGUAGAGAGUAUGCACCGGAUGAUGAAUAGAGAUGAUUCAGCUUCUUGUGGUAGAGAAUAGAUGGGCAAUGAUCAGCCAGAAGAAAGGAUGAAUGGGAAAAGGGACUAUCGAUGCUUUAGUUGCGUAAAAACAGGACAUUUAAAGAGGGACUGUAAGCGGAUCAGCAACCGGUAAAUGUUUUUGAUGGAAGGUAGAGGCCCAAGUGGAUCUUUCAGGGAUGUGUUUGUGUAUGUAUAUAUAUUUAUGUUGAACAAAGUUAAAUAGAUAUGAUAAUCUACUUUAAUCCUAAUCUUCUUAUUUACUUUCUAUCUAUGCUGUGUGUUACCUCAUACUCUUUCAAUUUGAUGCUUCAAAGGAUGUAUUACAUUCGACAAAUGCAGAAAACCCUGAGUUGCCUUGAAAUGUAUUUGUCAUACUUUGCCUGAGAUUUGUCAUUGCCACUUUCGCACAAUGCAGCUAAAAUGUUCGCCAGUAAUUCAUUGCAAUAUAGGGCCCAAUAUAUGCAACAUUAGGAAAGCACCAUAUGUUGCUAUUUUACCUUUCAUUUUGUCGCUUAAAGGGCACGUCCCAGUUUUGAACUCCUGGGAAAACCCUUCACUUAUUUGUAAAGUUUUCAUGCCAAAAAAUGCCAUCUCGCGGGGAUAGCUCAGUUGGGAGAGCGUCAGACUGAAGAUCUGAAGGUCGCGUGUUCGAUCCACGCUCACCGCAUAAAAAAAAAUUUAUUAUUUUAUUCUGAAAAAAAAAACUAUAAAUUAAAAUCAUCAUUUGGGCUUAGUUGAUAUUCUUCAAAAUCACCGUUUUGGGCCGAGCUUAAAUUACAUAUAUAAGCUCAUUAAGCGUAUGCCGAGGCCCAUACAUAGGCACAUCAUAAAGCAUACCGCCGGCGAGCACUUGUAGUAGGGUUUUCUUUAGCUGAUCGAAUUACAUAUAUAAGCUCAUUAAGCGUAUGCCGUGGCGCUUACAUAGGCACAUUAUAAGGCAUACAGCCAGCGAGCACCUUGUAGUAGGGUUUUCUUUAGCUGAUCGAAGUAGAAGAAACAACUGAGUUCGGAGCGAAAGGAUGUGAGUUCCCGCUUUGCUUUUCAGUUUUUAUCCGUUUUAUUAUUCUUAAUUAAUAAUCGUUGCUUAUUGUCGUUGGUUGAUUGUUUAUUUUGUUGUAUCUGCUUAUGUACAUUAUUUUUGUUUAAAAAUUGGGUAUUCUGACUUUGGAAAUUCUAAGUUUAAAACCUAUUAAAAUUAAUUGUUUUUAUGUUAUAGGGAAGAUUUAGGUUUCUAAUUAACCUGAUAUACUUGAAUCGGCAUUUUGGAAAUUUGAAAUUGUUAUUAGACACAGUUCAAUCUCAUUUAUAUAUACAUCAAGAAUUCUGCUCAGCAGGAAAUUUUGUAGCUUCGAAUUUUUUAUUCAUAGGAAGGUUUGUGUUGUAUAUGGCAGCUAGGAGUGUUUUAGCUAUGGAAAUCUAUUCUAGCAUGAAGAUUCUUGAUGAUUUAGAUUUCAAAAGCUGGAUGGAUUGGAAACUAAAUAUGGAACUUGUCUUUGGUUUGAUGGAUUUGGACUUUGCCCUUCGUGAAGACGAACCCGAGAAGCCUACUGUCACUAGCUCUUCUUCAGCCAUAGCUCAGUAUGAAAAAUGGGAGAGAAGUAAUCGAUUAAGCCUUCUAAUGAUGAGAAAGAAAAUGCAUGAUGGUCUAUAUGCACUUGUUCCUGUGACAGACUAUGGUAAUAAUGCUAAACAAUUUUUUGCUGCCCUUGAG